CAUGUAGGCGGAUUGUUAAGUCUGGUGUGAAAGCCCGGGGCUCAACCCCGGAAGUGCAUUGGAUACUGGCAAUCUUGAGUAUGGGAGAGGAAAGUGGAAUUCCGAGUGUAGGAGUGAAAUCCGUAGAUAUUCGGAGGAACACCAGUGGCGAAGGCGGCUUUCUGGACCAAUACUGACGCUGAGAUGCGAAAGCGUGGGGAGCAAACA
rnacentral:rRNA from 1 species